AGGCUGCAGACCUUUGAUAUCACUGGAGAGGGCUCCAGCUGGCCAUUUGGCCAUAGCCUCAGGGGCUGAUUCAACUAAGCCAGGUCUGGCAUCCGAAUUCAGUUCCUUGGGAUUGUGGGACUGAAGAUCCUUCUAAUCAUCAGCCGAGGGUCGUCCUCAGAUUAUAGAAGCUGCCUCCCUUCCUUGCCCUGUGGCCCCUUCCAUCUCCAAGCAAGUACAAGAUUAUCUUCUUUGUAUCAAAUCCCUCUCACACUUCAAGUCUCUUUUGAAGAGCCUCAUCUCUUUUCAAAACUGACCUGAUCAAGUAGGGUUGGUACACCUUCUAAAGAGCUGUGGAUGGAGGAAGCCAUUGACUAAUGUGACCAAGACUUACUUGGACUCCUGGAAAAGCAAAAUUCCAGCCAGGCCCAUCCAUCAGCCCACACAGAGCUCCCUCUGCACUUAUUUCAAAUAAAGUUCUGUGGAAAUGUAAGGAGGAAGUGGAUCUACAGAAACUAGAAAUCCAAAUGUAACAGUUCGUCUACUAGAGGAGAAGAGCUAGAUCAGGAACCUAGUGAUGGGCAUGGGAGUAGGGUGGGCAGCAGGAGCAGGAGCAAAAACGCAUGCCUUCCUGAUUGUGGGUCAUUAUAGGCCUUUAUGCAGCAAACACUAGCUACAGCCUUAAUAGAUAUGUUUUCACACAUUAAAUAACAUGUUUCACACAUUAGAUAACAUGUUUUCACAUAUGUAUAUCACUGGUUUUUCAAACACAUUUGGAAGCUAUA